rnacentral:lncRNA from 1 species
GAAUGGUUCUGGCGCUGUUUACAAUACAGCUUGGCCUGAAGUCGGUCAAGAUGAUCCUCUCCCAAUGUCAGAAGAGCCCUGGGCACUGGGAGAUACAUUCAGGGCUUCUCGCUGCUCCUCAGAAAAGCAGGGUAAUGGAGAUGCUGGAAACCAAAGAUAUGGUGGGUCUACUGCCUUGGAGCAUCCCUUCAGAUAGGGUGCUGCAGCCCCAGGAAGCUGUGUCCCCCUUGGACAUGUCUGUCAGCAUCUCUUUGCUUUCAAGCAGAACUGCUUAUAGAGCAUGUAUUUGUCUUUUCUAAGUUUGAGACCAGGGCUUAAGCCAACGUUACCCAAUUAAUUCUUCUUUUCUGUUUUCAUUUCUAGUUUGAACCCUUGGAAGCUGAACCUAAUCUUCUCGCCAUGCAGCAGCAAGGUUGUGGUCGCUUGGCUGUUUGAGCAAAAUAAUUCAAAUUUUCUUAUUUCAGUGCGGGUUCAUUUGUGUCAUAACUCAGGGAAGGUACAGAAAGUACAGCGUGUGACGGGGGAACUCGCUGAUGGAGUGGCUUCCCAGCUCAGCAGUGUGGCCACUGUCUUCAUAGCCUUACACAAGAGUCAGUAUUUCUCCUCAAAAGAAAUAAGGCCACCCCCAGUACUGACCUCGCAGGAGCCAGAUGUGCCUUCGAAAGCCUCCUCUGUAGCAUUAUUGCUAAACCUGCUUCUAAAUGGAAGGAAUGGAGAGGAAACCCAGCUAUUCCCACCCACAAAAAGGACCAAUUCCGCUAAUUGGGAUCCUCGCUUAGGAGGAGGAGGUGGCACUUUUCUCUCAGCCCAGGCUUCGGUGCUUCCCAGGCACCUGGAGGGAUGUUUCAAGGCUCAUUUGGAGUACAGAGGGGAGGUAAGUGUCACUCUUAAAAACCACCAUCUCAUCCAGGAGACCUUGGGGAAGCUGACCCAGCUGCCAGGGGAGGAACCACUGGUCCCCCUUCCCCUUCUCUUUCCAGGCCAGGCAUCCUGCAGAGAACCAGAGCAUCAACAGCAAAAGUCAGUUUGUGUCGGACUGUGA